UACGGAGGAUCCAAGCGUUGUCCGGAUUUAUUGGGUUUAAAGGGUGCGUAGGUGGAUAAUUAAGUCAGGGGUGAAAGCCUGCAGCUCAACUGUAGAACUGCCCUUGAAACUGAUUAUCUUGAGUGCGGUUGAGGAAGGCGGAAUGUGUCAUGUAGCGGUGAAAUGCUUAGAUAUGAUACAGAACACCGAUUGCGAAGGCAGCUUACUAAACCGUAACUGACACUGAGGCACGAAAGCAUGGGGAGCAAACAGG
rnacentral:rRNA from 1 species